ACAACAUAACCAAUCCAUCCACCAUUACAACACUAGCCCACUUCCACAGUUCGAUACUAGCCAGUGCUUUAGUACACCACUCAGGUUUUUGUGGGCAUUAUUGUAGCCAUGGCAUCCAAUCCCUCAACCUCAGCUGCCCUCUUCCUUGCCCUCAAUCUCCUCUUCUUCACCCUCGCCAGUGCCUGUAGCACCUGCCCCAAGCCACCCCCCAGUCCCCCCAAGCCCACCCCAUGCCCUCCCCCAGGAUCCGGCUCGGGCUCCGGCUCGGGUUCCGGCUCCGGCUCCGGCUCCGGCUCCGGCUCGGGUUCCGGCAGCGGUACAGGAACAUGCCCCGUGGAUGCACUCAAGCUAGGCGUCUGUGCCAACGUGCUGAACGGCUUGAUCAACCUUAAGGCUGGCAAGCCACCCAAGUUGCCCUGCUGCUCUUUGCUUGACGGACUCGUCGACCUCGAGGCUGCCGUCUGCCUCUGCACUGUCCUCAAGGCUAACAUUCUGGGGAUCAAGCUCAACCUCCCUAUCCACCUUAGCCUGCUCCUUAACUACUGUGGAAAGAACACCCCCAGAGGUUUCCAGUGCCCUUGAGCACCCCCAAGUCUUUUCUCUUCCUUGAUUCGUUUUCUUGUGUUUGAAUUCUUACGCAAAACUGUAUGUGUUUUUCGUUUUGUUUUUGUAUUCUUGUGUGGAUUUCUUGUGAGUUCUUGUUCUUGUGUCACUGCUCGUGAUCAACAUUCAAUGUAUUGGCAAGGAAAGAGAUAAGACAGCGCUAAGGAAGGGCUGUUUGGUGCUUUGAAUUAUGUGUUGAAGUCGCAAGUCUCAGCUUUAAUAAAAGUGUAUUGUUCGUCGUA